CUUUAUAGUUUUACCAGGCUCUUUAGAUAGAACUUUCAUUUAGCUGGUCAUGACCAAGAAACCACCUGCUUUGCUUGGUGGGAUGAGAAUGCCAGACUUAUUAAUUUGUUCAGUAAACUACUUGGAGCUCACGUAGCCCAUGCCGAAUUAAUCAUAUUCUGGGCCGGAGCAAUAAACCUAUUUGAAGUGGCCCAUUUCGUACCAGAAAAGCCCAUGUAUGAACUGGUGUAUCUGUUUAGUGAAUAUAAUGCCUUUGUAUUUAUAAAUCCCCAAGAAAAACAUAUCAAUAAUAAUAAUUCCACAUUUAUUCAAUUGUUUGCUAAACUUAUGACUUAG
rnacentral:rRNA from 1 species